ensembl:lncRNA
GUCUAAAGUAGUGUACUACAGGGGGCCAUUUAGUGGUGCGACAGGUACCUGUAUAUAUCAGGGGCCCCUCGUGGUCCCCCCCUCCCCCGUAUACCUCUGGUCUAAAGUAGUGGACUAUAGAGGGUGUAGUGUACCUCUGGUCUAAAGUAGUGCACUACAGGGGGCCAUUUAGUGGGGCGGCAGGUAGCCUAGUGGUUAGAGCGUUGGACUAGUAACCGAAAGGUUGCUGGAUGGAAUCCCCGAGCUGACAAGGUUAACAGUUAACCCACUGUUUCCCGGUAGGCAGUUAACCCACUGUUUCCCGGUAGGCAGUUAACCCACUGUUCCCCCGGUAGGCAGUUAACCCACUGUUCCCCGGUAGGCAGUUAACCCACUGUUUCCCGGUAGGCAGUUAACCCACUGUUUCCCGGUAGGCAGUUAACCCACUGUUUCCCGGUAGGCAGUUAACCCACUGUUCCCGGUAGGCAGUUAACCCACUGUUUCCCGGUAGGCAGUUAACCCACUGUUUCCCGGUAGGCAGUUAACCCACUGUUUCCCGGUAGGCAGUUAACCCACUGUUUCCCGGUAGGCCGUUAACCCACUGUUUCCCUGUAGGCAGUUAACCCACUGUUCCCCGGUAGGCAGUUAACCCACUGUUCCCCGGUAGGCAGUUAACCCACUGUUUUCCGGUAGGCAGUUAACCCAUUGUUUCCCGGUAGGCAGUUAACCCACUGUUUCCCGGUAGGCCGUCAUUGCAAAUAAGAAUUUGUUCUUAAACUGACUAGUUAAAUAAAGGUUAGAAUAAAAAUACAUACAUUUCAGACUCACUUUAUAUGGUUUCUACUGGUUUAUACCAGUCUUCCAGUCAGAUAACUGUGUUCUAUUGGUGCUCUAGUCUUUUUUAAACCCCGCCCCCUUUUCCAAAUUUAGGGUGUGGUUACAAUGUGGGCGACUCUUCACCCCGUCUCGCUGUAACCAAUAGCGCGCCCGGCACUAGUCUCUGUCACCCGCAAGUAGUAUUGAGCUGCCUGCUUCAUCAAAUCCCCUGGGAUUUCCCAGGGUGCAUCUGGCUAAAGAAGUGGAAGAAAGGGGGAAAGUUUUUCCCAGGGUGCAUCUGGCUAAAGGAGUGGAAGAAAAACCCAACAGGAGAAAUGGAACCAAAACAGAAAUAACUAAACUAUGCAAUAUGGAAAUACCAAUAACAACAGGACAUGAACGGGCGGGGAGGGAGUGAAGGGGACGGAGGUCAUUCUAAGGUCACGUGUUGCAUGCCCUGUGACUGUCAUGUCAUGUGACUUGAGACAUUCUCUUGUUAUUAUAAAACACCUGGUGUUUGACAACACGCUGUCUGGUUAUUAUACAACACACUGUCUGGUUAUUAUACAACACACUGUCUGGUUAUUAUACAACACACUGUCUGGUUAUUAUACAACACACUGUCUG